rnacentral:rRNA from 1 species
GACGAACGCUGGCGGCAUGCCUAAUACAUGCAAGUCGGGCGAACAGAUGAAGUGCUUGCACUUCUGACGUUAGCGGCGAACGGGUGAGUAACACGUAAGGAAUCUACCUAUAAGCGGGGGAUAACAUUCGGAAACGGGUGCUAAUACCGCAUAAUAUCUUCUUCCGCAUGGAAGAAGAUUGAAAGACGGCUCUGCUGUCACUUAUAGAUGACCUUGCGGUGCAUUAGUUAGUUGGUGGGGUAACGGCCUACCAAGACGAUGAUGCAUAGCCGACCUGAGAGGGUGCUCGGCCACAUUGGGACUGAGACACGGCCCAAACUCCUACGGGAGGCAGCAGUAGGGAAUCUUCCGCAAUGGGCGAAAGCCUGACGGAGCAAUGCCGCGUGAGUGAAGAAGGCCUUCGGGUCGUAAAACUCUGUUAUAAGAGAAGAACAAAUUGUAGAGUAACUGCUACAGUCUCGACGGUAUCUUAUCAGAAAGCCACGGCUAACUACGUGCCAGCCGCCGCAGUAA